UAUUUUUCUGUACUUUCACAAUGACAAUAAAGUCCCCUAAAAGACGGUGGCAGAGGCUGUACUUUCGUGAACCCCUAUGUUUAAAGAAAUAUCGCAAUGCAGAACAAUACGCUAAAUUCUCAUCGUCGAUGCCUUUUUUUUAACAAAUAUUUUAAAUAGCAGAUUAGAGCUCCUUUUCUCCAUUUUAUUAUGUCACGUAAAAACAAAAAAAAAUAAUAACUUUUGAUAAAUUUAAUGUAUUGAUGCUCCCAUAUAUGAGUAUAUUUAAUAUGCUUUCAAUAUUUAAAAAGCCGGGACUGCAGCAAUUUGCUUCCAAUUUAAAAUACUGGGUAUUAUUAAUAAAAUAAAAUAGAUAAAAGAAAGUAUAAGAUGUCAUUUAACUGCUAAAACCUUUUUUGUACUAUAAAUUAUCACUUUUAGCCCAUGAAUCGAAUUCAUUAAACUGAUGGAUUUUACUAUUUGGUAAUCUCAUGCCAAUUAUUUGUUGGGAAAAAGCAAAAGCGAUAUCAAAUUUUAGGGGUUCAGGUUGCUUUCUUUAAGGGCGUAUAAAGA